AUUGAACGCUGGCGGCAGGCCUAACACAUGCAAGUCGAACGAGUGGCGGACGGGUGAGUUAUGUCUGUGAAACUGCCUGAUGGAGGGGGAUAACUACUGGAAACGGUUGCUAAUACCGCAUCCCAUCGGCUGUGCCCAGAUGGGAUUAUCUAGUUGGGGGGGUAACCGCUCACCUAGGCGACGAUCCCGAGCUGGUCUGAGAGGAUGACCAGCCACACUGGAACGGAGACACGGUCCAGACUCCUACGGGAGGCAGCAGUGGGGAAUAUUGGACAAUGGGCGCAAGCCUGAUGCAGCCAUGCCGCGUGUAUGAAGAAGGCCUUCGGAUUGUAAAGUACUUUCAGCGGGGAGGCGUUACCCGCAGAAGAAGCACCGGCUAACUCCGUGCCAGCAGCCGCGGUAAUUC
rnacentral:rRNA from 1 species